UACGGGGGGAGCAAGCGUUGUUCGGAUUUACUGGGCGUAAAGGGCGCGUAGGCGGCCACCGCAAGUCGACUGUGAAAUCUCCGGGCUUAACCCGGAAAGGUCAGCCGAUACUGCGGGGCUAGAGUGCAGAAGGGGCAACUGGGAAUUCUCGGUGUAGCGGUGAAAUGCGUAGAUAUCGAGAGGAACACCUGCGGCGAAGGCGGGUUGCUGGGCUGACACUGACGCUGAGGCGCGAAAGCUAGGGAAGCGAACGGG
rnacentral:rRNA from 1 species